GCGGGCUGACCUGGGUGGAUACCGUCAUAUAGAUCAGCUUCCCAAGCUGACAGUGCGAGUUCGAUUCUCGUCACCCGCU
rnacentral:tRNA from 1 species